rnacentral:rRNA from 1 species
GGGACCCCAGGUCAGGCGGGACCACCCGCUGAGUUUAA